GUGUGUCCUAUUAAGUUCCAUGUUUGCUCAUUCCAGUAUUUUGUAAUUAGGACAAGAUGAAGGUUCAACUAGUCUAAGAAACUGUCUGACUCAAACAUUUUUUUUUAAUGCUGAUCAUAUACCUGACUUCCACCUACAAUUGUUUUAAAGAUAAGUAAUUAGUCAGCUUAAAAGGCAGUUGGGGCACAGGGCUAAGGAUUCCCAUCACCCCUGUGCAUGGUACUGAUGAGUGAGUUACCUAAUGGUGAACUGGACCAGCUAGUGAGUCUUCUCCCAGAAGGCCUUGCAGCUCCUGAGGUACACCAGCUAGAAGUCAGUCAUUGCCACAAGACGUAUCACUAGAAGACACAAUUCAACUUGCUAAAGGGGGGGAGGGGCACAGAAGGGCAGGGCUCAGAAUGGAAGGGCUGACGCACACAAGGCAGGCUAGAGGCACCUUACAAGAGCCCUGCCUUGUUAAACAUAGUCUAGGUGAAAGAGGAAAGUGCUGAGAGUGUUCAGGCGUGGCUAGGAUGACCUUAGUCAGCGUAUUGUAAAGGUGGAUUCUUUGUUGGAAUAGUUGGUGUUUCUCUUAUAUUAGCCUUUUCACACCAGAGCCUGCAUCACCAAGUUAUACACAGAUUUAAAGUAUAACAUUUUCCAAUUACAUAUAAGAAGGCACACACAUGUAUAAUAUAUACAUAUAGUUGAUGAACAUUAGAACUGAAACACAAAUUUCAAAAAGAAGCGUUCAGCAGUGUGUAGUGUUAUGUUUCCUAUUCUUACUCUCUCUCUUCUCUCUCUCUUCUCUCUCUCUCUCUUUUCUCUCUCUCUCUCUUUCUCUCUCUCUCUCUCUCUCUCUCUCUCUCUCUCCCUCUCUCUCCCUUUCUCUCUCAAAGACAGGUGGUAAAUCACAAUAAUGACACUGUGUCUAGUGGCCACAGCUCAAAGUCUGAAAAGCCACUGAACCAUUUUGUAAGGACAUUCAUGACCUAAGCAGAGAAGAACUGUGGAAUGACAGAAGCUCCAACUCUAAGGCCACUAUGGCAAUGACUUGAGAUUACUCUGAAAGUCCCUUCGACUAAGUGCAGACUUGCCUCUGUGCAUCUUCACAGUUCAGACCAUGCAGUCACGGUUUUUCUCCUUCCUCCGUACCAUUGUCCAGUCUCCAACACUUGCUUUCCCACACACCUCCCAUCUUCUCUGAUGUCUCCUAAAGAAACAAUCCCUGGACUUCUUCCUUCACAGUCACGGGAUGAUGCAACAGAAGCUUCCAGACCACAGCAGUGGGAGGAGAUGGUCACUGAAAGAAAUGAUGGUCCUGCUGGACAAGGGGUGGAGACUCUGGGAAGCCUAGGGUAGACAAAGUAUAUCAGAUGCAUGCCCAGGACACACAACCUCUCUUAGAAGCACUGAGGGGAAAUCUGUGAGUUUACCAUGUAUUGAUUCACGAGUUUGAGAACUAAAACUUCAAGUGAGUUUCAUGAUGGCUGUCAAGGCUAAGUGCUUCUCUCUACAGACAAACAUGAGUUAAGACAGAUUAACACAUAGAAGAUGUUCCUGGAAAAGGACUGAAUUUGUCUUUGGUGUGUUGGCGAGUUCAGAGUCACGGGGAGAUUAGAGCAAGGUGUGCUACACCGUGGGUCCUUUUCUGAGCAGAGGAGGUACCGCACACUCUCUGACCUUUAUUUGUUUUGAAAAAUGAGCACCAUUUACCAGCACUCUGCCCUUUAGAGCGCAUUGACCUUCAGUUCCUUUGCUCUUCGUUUCCUUUUUAAAUGGUCUUUCCAUCCAUUCACGUUGCGUUUGCCUUUUUCCUCCCAAGUUAUAAUACACCACACAUGUUCUCAAACCUUGUGAAAUGUCAUUUCUGGUUUAUUACAUUCUAAGUUUUACCGUAAAUUAUUUAGAAAUGACUUACAUAGAAGAAGUCUUUCAGUCUUUAAGAAUAUGGAUUGGGGUAAAUAUGGUGGGAGCCAAUCCUGUGUUUUGUCAUGUAGAUUUGCAAAGUGGAAAUGUCUGGUUUCUUUGGAGACUCGGUUAGGUUAUAAUGAUGUUUUGCUGAAGCAGACACAGAGGGAGGGAGGUUUUGCUAAAGCAAACACGUUAAAGGAUGCAUGACGUCUAGAAAGAAUAUAAAGAUGACCCCCCCCCACACACACACACCCCAGACAGUGGAAACUCAAGCAUUGGUUCACUUCACUCGGCCUUGCUCGUCUUCGCUGGCAACAUGCCAUGUAUCAAUCAGUUUCCCUUACAUUGAGUUUCCGAGCUUCACUUCUGGGGACUUCAUAGAGAGAAACUCACCAGAGAACUCCUCAUGAGAUUCCUGUGGCUUCUUGCUGCUUCCACAGUUUCUAGCCAACUGGCGAGCCUGGCAGUCUCUUCUGGAUUGAACUGCCCUUGCUGAUUCAUGUGUGGUGUCUGCCGAGUGGACUGGACUGCAGCUGCUGGUUUGUUUGCUACUGGACUGGACUGAGAACAACAAAGAUUGGAAUCGCCCCAAAGAACUAGUUCUCCACUUCCCCUGUAUCCUAGUAACCGUUCUUUUCCACUACUUCUGGUAGGUGGUAGGGGGAGGUUGAACCCUUAUUUUAAAAGGUUGUGAAAUAUACUUGCCUACAGAGUGGUAUGACUGACCUGUCAGAUCAAAGCGAGUGAGACAUUUUUUCAGGGGACACAAACUGGUUUGAGAGCCCUACCAACAGUUAUUAUCAUUUUAAGAUUGUGUGUGUGUGUGCAUGUGUGUGCAUGUGUGUGCAUGUGUGUGCAUGUGUGUGCAUGUGUGUGCAUGUGUGUGCAUGUGUGUGUGUGUACCCCACAUGUUUGUAGGUACUCACAGAGACCAGAGGAAAGCCUCCGAUUCCCCUGCAGCUAUAGUUGCAGGUGGUUGUGAGCCACCUGAUGU
rnacentral:lncRNA from 1 species